rnacentral:lncRNA from 1 species
CAUGUGCUGCUUUUUAAGGCAAUUAUAAACUAGAUCUGUAAUUGGACAAUUUGGUAACUAUAAUAAUUAUGGUGCAAUUCAAUUGUCUUCAUAUUAUUUGUGUGUUUAAAUAAUAUUUGGUCAGCAAUGUUUCAAUAGAAAUAAAAGUUGUAAUAUUUAUCCUACUACAAGGAUUUUUUUCACAUGAUUAGGACACUGAAGAUGAUGAUACUUAUGAAGAUGUUGAUGAUGAAUGGUGAGAUGUUUGUAGCAUUCAUCCUCUGAUUAAGUAUUUAAAGCAAAUGAAAGGCUCAUCCAUUUAUUGAAGAAAUGUUAAGAUUUCACUGAUGGAAUUUAUGCCUAUAACAAAAAAAGCUGCACUUAUUGUGCACUUAUAACAGGUCAGAGAACAAACCAUCUGGAAUACAACAAGAUUCACUUAAAAAAGAGACAAAAAAAGACAAGAAACUGGAAAAAGAGGAGAAAAAAAAACUUGAGCAGAAGAAGAAGGAACGAGAAAAAAGGGAAAACGAAGCAAGGAAAAAGUUCCAAGUAGCUUAAAGGGUCAAUUCAGGUUUUCAUGAUGAAGAGAGUUCAAGUGGAAUGUAAAGGUGGGAAGAACGACCUCCAGUUAAGAUCGGGAGAGACGGUUGAAAUCGUACGCAUCAAAGACAACCCUGCAGGCCAGUGGCUGGCCAGAAACAAGACUGGCCAAUGUAAGUAUCUUCUGUAAUGGAGUGAUGUCCUCAUCCAGUUAAUAGUAUGGCUUGUCACUCUGCUUUUCAGAUGGUUAUGUUAAGACUGAAGCUUUUGGCGGUGAUAACAAUCAAAAGCAGGAUGGUGGAGGUGACAUGUAUGAUGAUGUGGAUGAAACAAGUUUCCCACCCCCACCCCCUCCAGCAUAUCUUACUGAGAACAAUGAUGACAUUUAUGAUGAUGUGGAGUCUCAGGACUUCCCUCUCCCACCUCCCCCUCCUCCCCUGGACAGGUGAUGUUUUAUUAUUUUACAAUUGGC